GAUGAACGCUAGCUACAGGCUUAACACAUGCAAGUCGAGGGGUAGCAGGGUAGCAAUACCGCUGACGACCGGCGCACGGGUGAGUAACACGUAUCCAACCUUCCCAUAACUCGGGGAUAGCCUUCCGAAAGAAAGAUUAAUACCCGAUAGUACUUUUUCAAGGCAUCUUGAGAAAGUUAAAGAUUUAUUGGUUAUGGAUGGGGAUGCGUUCCAUUAGAUAGUUGGUGAGGUAACGGCUCACCAAGUCUUCGAUGGAUAGGGGUUCUGAGAGGAAGGGCACCAACAUUGGUAAUGAGACACGGACCAAACUCCUACGGGAGGCAGCAGUGAGGAAUAUUUGUCAAUGGGCGAGAGCCUUAACCAGCCAAGUAGCGUGAAGGAUGAAGGUCCUAUGGAUUGUAAACUUCUUUUAUAGUAGAAUAAAGUGAUCCACGUGUGGAUUUUUGUAUGUAUACUAUGAAUAAGGAUCGGCUAACUACGUGCCAGCCGCCGCAGUAA
rnacentral:rRNA from 1 species